rnacentral:rRNA from 1 species
UACGGAGGGUGCGAGCGUUAAUCGGAAUUACUGGGCGUAAAGGGUGCGUAGGCGGUUUAAUAAGUUAUGUGUGAAAUACCUGGGCUCAACCUAGGUGCUGCAGAUAAUACUGUUAGGCUAGAGUAAGGUAGAGGGUAGUGGAAUUUUCGGUGUAGCGGUGAAAUGCUUAGAUAUUGUCAAGAACACCGAUAGUGUAGACAGCUUACUAGACUUCAACUGACGCUGAGGCACGAAAGUGUGGGGAUCAAACAGG